UACAGAGGGUGCGAGCGUUAAUCGGACUUACUGGGCGUAAAGGGCGUGUAGGUGGACUAACAAGUCGGGUGUGAAAAUUUCAGGCUUAACCUGAGACGGGCAUCCGAAACUGUGAGUCUAGAGUGUGGUAGAGGGAAGUGGAAUUUCCGGUGUAGCGGUGAAAUGCGUAGAUAUCGGAAAGAACACCAGUGGCGAAGGCGGCUUCCUGGACUGACACUGACACUGAGGCGCGAAAGCGUGGGGAGCAAAC
rnacentral:rRNA from 1 species